AUUUUUCACCUGGCCUUUCCAGUCCCUCAUGGCCUCUUUCUACCAUCCAUCCUCCCUGACGCUUAUCACUACGGUAGUGCCGGCCCAGCUGGUAUCUGAGAAAACUUUUUAGAAAAGACGGGCUAUAUGGACCCAACCAAUUAACUCUUCUUGGAAGGCGAAAACAACUCAUGCAGAGGCUGUGGUGGUGUUAGGCAUAGGAUGCGAACGUGUGUAGCCAACUUAAAGCUAGAUUAACGUGGCAAAUGUUAAUAUUUUUCCCUCGACCGGCCCAAUAGUGAAGCGGCCCACCGGGAAUUCUCCCGAUUACCCACUCCGGGCCUGGCCAGGCCAAAAUCGACAUCUUUCUGUUUUACAUUGUCUUAAUUUUUACAGCUACGUUGUUAACUCUGGUUCAGUUGUUGACUGUGUCCACUCCCACUCAAAACUCAAGAACAGCUGUUAAUUAACAUUAAUGCAGUGAUUGGAAGUUCAUGAUUGGACCUAAAACGGCCAUAUCACUGUCUGCAUGGCCUGGUGACAUUUUUGUUACCGCUGCUUUUUCGUGGGUGUUUGCAGACAUCAUGGCUGCAGACUUAAUUUUAAGGGCUUGGGCAGUUUUUAUGUUGGGGAUUGUCUUGUCUGAACAACUUCCGGAAGGGUCAGGACCCAUUUCUGGCGACACUGGAGGUUAUCACCCUGGCUCUGAUGACUGGGUCUCCACAUUAGGAGACAUAGCCGACUCUUCAAAACAUGAUUCUAAACAGCAGCAGUCGUUCUCUCUAGAGCCACUGGAGACCUGGGAGAAUCCUAGUAUGCAAUGGAUGUUUGCAAAGGCAGUAACCUCUGGGCAGGCUCUUGGUAAUCAUCAAUUUGAUCCCAAGGCUUCUGAACUCUCAGCUACUGGUUUCUCAGCUACUGAUUUAAACUCUUCCAUCUCUAAGCAAUUUGCAAGAGAACUGUGUUCAUGGUGUGCGCUGCCUGCACAAGGAAAUCCUGCCCUCUCCCAGAGUGGGAAUGUUGGCUCAUCUAGCUUUCAGAAUGUUAACCGUGCAAAAGUUCCUGUUGGUUCCAUACAAAACGUUACAGGUAGUUCUCAAGAAGGAGAUCAUGAUUACAGUAACUCUGCCUCACUCCCCAGUUAUUAUAAUGCUUUACCAAGUAAUCCUGGAGGCAUGGCUGUUCUCCCUAGUAAUUCCAUCAGUUCCCCCCAGGUCCAUAGACUUCAGCCUAGUGCAGUCAAAGUAAUGCAGCCAACCAACUCAAUAUUUUUUCAGAAUGAUGAUGAAAUUGGCCAAAACCCCACCAGGUCAAUUCAAAUGCGUGAACCUGACACAUUUGCCAUGUAUAGACAGCCUGUGUCGGGUGAAGACAGGCUUGUUCAACUGCAGAGCGGUUCUAGCCAAUACAGUGGUGCCAUCAAGACUAACCAGCAACCUUUUAAAAGGGCAGUUUUUCAACCAAGGCCUCAAACUAAUGAUUGGGUGCAGAAAAGUUAUCAUGGAAGCCCAGACAAAAAGUUGGACCUGAUUAAAGUCUUUAAUGGUCCAAAUUCUAGAUCUCAGUAUGGCAGUAAGACCUCACAGGAGGUGAAAACUGCUUCCGAUGAUUUGCAUCAAAAAAAGAGGCGGAGCCAGCAACAUGUUCAGUCUGCUCAAACUCCCUUGAGUCAUGGUGUCCACAUUUCUGAGCCUAAAAAGAACCCUGUCUGGAGUCCAAAUGAGUACUAUUCAAGACCAGACGCACAGUUUGGAUCUGAAGACUCUUCAAGACCCGUUUCUCUGUAUGCCACUGCUGCCACAGUGACGCUCGGCACAUCUUCAGACUACGUUGGUCAAAAAGAGCAGAGCAGCCAGCAACCUGUUCAGUUUACUCAAACCCAUCAUGGUGUCCAGAUGCCUGAGCCCAGUAAAAGGAACUAUGCCCUUGGAGCUGAAGACUCAAGAGUUGUUUCUCCAUAUGUCAUUGCCACAGCUAUAGGAACAACUUCAGGCUACCUCAAUCAGAAUGAGCCAAAGCAUCACACGCCUGCUCCGAACAGCUCUAGCUACCACUUUGUAAUGAAUGGGCAGCAUGCUAAUGGCUCUAUUGGAAGCACAAGUGGGGCUGAGAGCAGACAGCCCAGUGAUGAACAAAUCCUUCCUUCAAGGGCUGAAGCACUCAAUCUGCUAAAGCAAGCUCUUAAAGGUGUGUCAAGAGGUCACCCGUUUCACUCUAUAAUGCAGAGGCUUAUUCCUGCUAGUGCUCCCUCCUGGAACAUGGGUGAAGGAGAGGACUUCCCUGGCAGUGUUGAGAGUUCCCCAUCUUUACACGAAGUUCAAAGUCCUUUUGGAGAUGGCAGUGGAAGUCGCUUGUCCCCCAGUGUGAGUCAAGGGGGAACUUUGUACAGUGGAAAUAGCAGCAUAACUCAUUCUGAUGAGAAUUUUGGUUCUGGGAAACCUGGCAGCGCAAGUGAGCCCCAAGAGCCACUCCCAGAUGGUGGUGUCUUGUCUCCUUCACCUUCGGUGAAUGUGUACAGAAGUGCAUCCGGUAAUACCUUCUCCAAUGUUUGGUCAGCCCACAAAGGCUAUAGUAAUUCAGCUAGGAUGGAGACCCCCAUCCAGCAAACAACUACUACAAAAGGACUUUUGCAAAUGGCCUCUGCCUCUAUGCCACAUAAAGUGAACACAGCUAUAAAAGUUACUCCUGCUCAGAGCAGAAUCCAAGCAUACAGUUUCUACAAUCAGAAAAAUUCUGGCAUGAGAAAAGUAGUGCCAAGGAUGCGUACAAAUAGCUUUUCUGUGGUUCAGAUGUUAUUUCCAAGCAUAAGUAAGGGUAGUCUGAGGCCUGAGGUCACUGCUUCCAAAACUAGCAUUAAACGCUACAGAAUCACAAAACAACCUAUUGGGUUUCAAGCUCGUUAUAUUGUAAAAUCCCUCAAUCCCUAUGAGAUCACUAAACAUAUGUUUUCAGAAACCAGCUAUAUGCCAUUAGCCUCCCCUUAUACCAAAAGAUCCUCACAGGUUAAGUUUCCUACAAAAAGCAGAGUCUGACUUUUCCUCUCAAACUAGAUCUUGGGGUCCUGGAAGGACUUUGUAAACAAGCUGCCCACAUAAACACAAAGCAAGGGCUCCCCAUCCCUUCCUGGCCACUGAUGAUCAAGAUGUGUUUGUUACAGGACUUAAUAAAUAAAUAAAAUUAAUCUGGCAA